ACACCCUAGCCUAGAAUGCUGGGACGGGAAGCCAGGGGCUUUUCUGGAAGGGUUUACUCUCGCCCCACCCAAAGCACUGCUCUCCACGGGCUCGGGCUCGGGGAUGGGGGCGGGGGCAGGGGCUCCAACCGGGAGGUGCGUGGCUCUCGUGACACUCUCGGUGGGGGUGGUAGUCGGCCGAAGGCCAUUUUGACACUUGGCCUCGUCUCUGCCUCUGGGCAACUCUGGGCGGUCCCUCCGUCCUCUGGGGGCCCCGGGAAGCCUGGGGUCCGGCGCCCGGCUCGGGCUUUCCCGGUAGGGGCCACGUGGCCCUGCCCGGGCGGGGGGCUCGCCUCCCCCUCGCCCGCCAGCCCCGGUGACUCAGGCCGCAGCUGUUCCCGCGUCACGAGGGAGGCUGGCGGCCACCCCGCGGGGGAGGGGGCUGGCUGGAGCCGGGGCGGGGCCGCGCGGCAGGCGGGGCGCGAGCGGGGGGCGCAGGCGGGGAGACGGCGGCUGACCCGCGGCCGGAGAGCAUCGUGCGACGUCGGGGAGCGCAGGCCCAGCAGCCAUGGCGGUGGAAGGAGGAAUGAAGUGUGUCAAGUUCUUGCUCUACGUUCUUCUGCUGGCCUUCUGCGCCUGUGCCGUGGGAUUGAUUGCAGUUGGUGUAGCAGCUCAGGUUUUCUUGAAUCAGACCAUCAGCCAGGAGACCACGCCAGCCUCCCUGUUGCCUGUGGUCAUCAUUGCAGUGGGCGCCUUCCUCUUCCUGGUGGCCUUUGUGGGCUGCUGUGGGGCCUGCAAGGAGAACUCCUGUCUUAUGAUUACAUUUGCCGUCUUCCUGUCUCUCAUCGUGCUUGUGGAGGUGGCUGUGGCCAUUGCUGGCUACGUGUUCAGAGACAAGGUGGAGUCAGAGGUCAGUAAGAGCUUCCAGAAGCAGAUGCAGAAUUACCUGAAAGACAACAGAACAGCGUCGGUUCUGGACGGGUGGCAGCAGCGAUUUAACUGCUGUGGGGCUAAUAACUACACAGACUGGGAGACUGUCCCUGGGAUGGCCAAGGACCGAGUCCCCGAUUCCUGCUGCGUCAACGUCACUGUGGGCUGUGGGACCGACUUCAAAUUACCCACCAUCCAUACUCAG